rnacentral:ncRNA from 1 species
UUGCAUUAUAUUGUUUGGGCCUCGGCUCAGAUAAUAUAACAUGUUUGAUCAUAUCUUAACGGGGAAACCCGUAAAUCCACAGACCUUAUCCGUGAGAGUCCGACACUCGGGUGGAGUGUCGUGAGAGUCAUUGGUGUCCACUCUAGGCCCGUGCCUUGUCCGGGGCCUUACCAAAAUUAGUUCCGGGCAGGAUGCGAAGACACGUGUGAUAGGGCUAGCUACCCUAGACCGUGUAGCUGCAUGACGAUGCGGCAAGUGUGUUAUCCGGGCCAUCGGCUUUUUAGACAUUGUGUUUAGAGUCAAUGGGCGCAAGAAGGGAUGUGUUAUGGACUUCGUAUCGAGAUAGGAACCAAUGGCGAGAGGCAGUCCUCGAUGAUCGAUAAUGAUCUAACUACUCGUGAAAAGUGGAUGCUUGUUUACAUGAUUGCUUUAUUUUUGCAUUGCAUAUUUCUUAAUAUAAUUGAUCCUUGUUGCUUAAUGUUUGAUGCAUAUUGGGGGGGAUAAAUAAAUGUUAGGAAACCCGACUCACUGAGCAAAAUAGUUGCUCAUUAGACUCUUUGUUUUGCAGGUAACCCGUAGUAGUAGGUUCCAUUUGGGAUCAGAGGAGCACAAAGCUGUUGGUGUAGAUUUGCUACCUUUUGCAAACAUGUACGUUUUGUAAUAUGUAAGAUAUGGUUUUGAACAUCAGCCGAGCAUGUAUAAAUUUUGAUGUGGUUGAACUUAAAGUAUAUAUGAAUAAAAAAAAAGGGUUUGUGAAAUGCUUGGAUUCCAUAUGAUACUAGUCCUAGUCCGGGACGAACUAACUAACGGUUUCAAACUCGGGUUGCAAAGCCUUAACUUGGAAUCGCUAGGAAACCCGUUCUUGGACAUAUGAUCUUAGAUUUCGGAUCUGAUCUGGGAACCUCGGAUCAAAUGUUCGGGCACGUGGUAGUAGUAUCUUCAAUCUGGUUAGAGUUCUUUAGUUCGUCGUUCAUGUUCUUGAUUGAUUGGUGCAUGGCAAACUAAUUAACUUUUAUUUAUUCCGGAUCUGGGGUGUUACAGACAAGUCUGGGUAAUCUUUGAAAUUUCAUCGUGAUGGGGAUAGAUCAUUGCAAUUGUUGGUCUUCAACGAGGAAUUCCUAGUAAGCGCGAGUCAUCAGCUCGCGUUGACUACGUCCCUGCCCUUUGUACACACCGCCCGUCGCUCCUACCGAUUGAAUGAUCCGGUGAAGUGUUCGGAUCACGGCGACGUGGGUUGUUCGCCGUCUGCGACGUCGCGAGAAGUCCACUAAACCUUAUCAUUUAGAGGAAGGAGAAGUCGUAACAAGGUUUCCGUAGGUGAACCUGCGGAAGGAUCAUUG